UACGUAGGUGGCAAGCGUUGUCCGGAUUUACUGGGCGUAAAGAGCGCGCAGGCGGUCGUUCAAGUCGCGUGUGAAAGCCCCCGGCUCAACUGGGGAGGGUCACGCGAUACUGAUCGACUCGAAGGCAGGAGAGGGAAGUGGAAUUCCCGGUGUAGUGGUGAAAUGCGUAGAUAUCUGGAGGAACACCGGUGGCGAAGGCGGCAUCCUGGACCGGCAUUGACGCUGAGGCGCGAAAGCCAGGGGAGCAAACGGG
rnacentral:rRNA from 1 species